rnacentral:rRNA from 1 species
AUGGGCUGCACUGCUGCUCACCUUGCUGCUCUGCUGCUCUGUGUCUCCAUUAUUGCCGGCGGUGCCAUAGCUGGUAGACAGAAUGGCACCAAUGGCGUGUCGAGGCCGGCUGAGGUGCGCAUCGGUGCGCUCUUCACAUUUGAUUCGGUCAUCGGGAGGGCAGUGAAGCCGGCUAUCGAGCUCGCUGUUGCGGAUGUCAAUGCUGAUCCAACCCUACUCCCCGGGACAAAACUGAGUCUUCUUAUGCAGGACACCAAUUGCAGUUGCUUUGUUGGAACCAUUGAAGCAUUGCAGCUUCUGGCCAAGGAUGUCAUCGCUGUAUUAGGUCCACAAUCAUCCGCAAUUGCUCACAUCAUUUCUCAUGCUGCUAACAAACUCCAAGUCCCACUUAUCUCUUUCGCAGCCUCCGAUCCUACCCUUUCUUCCCUUGAAUACCCUUACUUUGUGAGGGCUACACAAAGUGAUUACUACCAAAUGUCUGCUGUGGCUAGUAUCAUCAGUCAGUAUCAAUGGAGAGAAGUCAUCGCCAUCUAUGUUGAUGAUGACUAUGGCAGAGGCGGCAUCACGGCAUUAGGUGAUGCCCUUGCAAAAAAUAUGGCCAAGAUAGCCUACAAAGCAAAACUGCCACCUCAUGCUGGAAGGACUGCAAUCCAGGAUGUCUUGAUGCAAGUGAAUGAAAUGGAGUCCCGUGUCUAUGUUGUCCAUGUGAACCCUGACUCUGGGAUGACAGUUUUCUCCGCCGCAAAAUCUUUAGGGAUGAUGAAUAGCGGCUAUGUAUGGAUAGCAACAGACUGGCUUUCUGCAGUGAUAGAUUCACCUGCGCAUGUUGAUUCUGAUGCGACAGAACAUACGCAGGGGGUUAUUACUCUCCGGCAACAUGUUGCUGACUCUGGCAUUCAGCAGUCCUUGCUGCCCAAACUGAACAAUCUGACUAGGAAAGGAACCCGUUCGAGCUUCAGUUCUUACACUGCACAUGCUUAUGACUCCGUAUGGUUAGUUGCUCAUGCAGUUGAGCAGUUUCUGAGUGCAGGGAAUGCAGUAUCCUUUUCUGCAAACCAAAAUCUGCAAGCUAUAAAAGGAAGUAGCCUUCAGUUAGAUUCUCUCAGAAUUCUCAACAAUGGAGAUAAAUUACUGGAGAAAGUGUUGCAGGCAAAUUUCACAGGGGUUUCAGGCCAAGUACAAUUUACUUUGGACGGGAAUUUGAUCCAUCCAGCUUAUGACAUCCUGAAUAUCGGUGGUACUGGUUUCAGAACCAUUGGGCAUUGGUCAAACUUUUCUGGUCUCUCAGUUGCUGCUCCAGAAGACUUGCAUUCAGUAUCACUGGACUCUACAACCAAUGAUAUGCAGCUCCAUGAUGUUAUCUGGCCUGGUCAGACUGCUGAGAAACCCCGUGGUUGGGUGUUUCCGUACCAUGGGAAGCUUUUAAGGAUCGGUGUUCCUCUGCGUACAAGCUACAAUGAGUUCGUGAUGCAAGACGAUGGGCCUGAUGGGGUAAAGGGGUUUUCAGUUGAUGUUUUCAAAUCUGCAAUAAGCUUGUUGCCUUACCCUGUGGGAUGCAGUUUUGUUUUAUUUGGAGAUGGUUUGAAAAAUCCGAGCUACAGUGACCUUGUACAAAAGGUGUCCGAAAAUUACUUUGAUGCUGCCAUAGGGGACAUCUCUAUUGUGACAAAUAGAACAAGACUUGUUGAUUUUACUCAGCCAUAUACAGAAUCAGGUCUCAUUAUUGUAGCUCCAGCAAGGGAGAUUGGAUCAAACGCUUGGGCUUUUCUGAAACCAUUCACCUUUCAGAUGUGGUGUGUUCUAGGUUUGCUCUUCCUCUUUGUGGGUACAGUUGUUUGGAUCCUUGAACACCGCACUAAUACUGAGUUCCGCGGAACCCCAAGGCAACAAAUUAUGACAGUAUGCUGGUUUAGCUUUUCAACCAUGUUUUUCGCACACAGAGAGAACACUUCUAGCGCACUUGGCAGAUUUGUGCUCCUUGUGUGGCUCUUUGUUGUGCUCAUUAUUAACUCAAGCUACACGGCAAGCUUGACAUCACUUCUCACUGUUCAGGAGUUAACAUCGGGGAUAAAAGGUCUUGAUAGUUUGAUCUCUAGUUCAAGCGCAAUUGGUUAUCAAGUUGGAUCGUUUGCCAGAAAUUAUCUUGUGGAGGAGCUCAAUAUCGCGGAUUCCCGUCUGGUGCCACUAAACAGCCCAUCUGAUUACGCAAGAGCACUAGAGCUAGGGUCUGGAAAUGGUGGUGUUGCUGCAAUAAUCGAUGAGCUGCCAUACGUUGAGAUCUUCUUGUCAAAGUACUGUAAAUUCAAGACGGUCGGUCAGGUUUUCACAAAAGGUGGAUGGGGAUUUGCAUUUCCAAGAGACUCUCCUCUUGCCGAGGACUUGUCGACAGCAAUCCUUACACUAUCAGAGAACGGCGACCUCCAAAGGAUCCAUGAUGAAUGGUUAAGUGGGAAGAAAGGAUGUGAGUCAGAUGAUAGUGAGCUCGGUUCAAACUCCUUGAACCUGUCAAGCUUCUGGGGCCUGUUUGUGGUGUGUGGCCUUGCAUGUGCCAUUGCUCUCCUGAUUUUCUUCUGGCGAAUAUUGUUUCAGUACAGCAAGUAUAAUAACCAGGUUGAGGUUGAAGCGGCGAUCGUGAACCGGCCAGCGAGGCUAACCAGCAUCAAAUCGCUAAUCUCUUUUGUUGACAAGAGGGAGGAGGAGGUGAAGAAUGCUCUCAAGAAAAAGCCUAAUGGCUCUCAGCAGGCAAGAAUCGGCACUACAGAAGAAGCAUCUACAUUGCCGCUGUAA